rnacentral:misc_RNA from 1 species
GAUGAAGAACGCAGCAAAAUGCGAUAAGUAAUGUGAAUUGCAGAAUUCAGUGAAUCAUCGAAUCUUUGAACGCACAUUGCGCCCGCCAGUAUUCUGGCGGGCAUGCCUGUUCGAGCGUCAUUUCAACCCUCAAGCACAGCUUGGUGUUGGGACUCGCGUUAAUUCGCGUUCCCCAAAUUGAUUGGCGGUCACGUCGAGCUUCCAUAGCGUAGUAGUAAAACCCUCGUUACUGGUAAUCGUCGCGGCCACGCCGUUAAACCCCAACUUCUGAAUGUUGACCUCGGAUCAGGUAGGAAUACCCGCUGAACUUAUGCAUAUCAAUAAGCGGAGGA